AAUUUUACCUUGUAGGGUAGAUUCAAAUAUUAAGAAGGUGUUUUUUCUAGGGUAAGGCUAAUUCAUUGCAAUUAGAAUGUGCUAACCCCUGAAAUUCCCUUAAAUUCAGGAAAUUCAACCAUAUAAUUUGUGCUGGGGAACUGCUUUCAUGCUCUUCUCAC